UACGUAGGUGGCAAGCGUUGUCCGGAAUUAUUGGGCGUAAAGGGUGCGCAGGCGGUCUCUUAAGUCUGUCUUAAAAGUGCGGGGCUCAACCCCGUGAGGGGACGGAAACUGGGAGACUGGAGUAUCGGAGAGGAAAGCAGAAUUCCUAGUGUAGCGGUGAAAUGCGUAGAUAUUAGGAGGAAUACCAGUGGCGAAAGCGGCUUUCUGGACGACAACUGACGCUGAGGCACGAAAGCCAGGGGAGCGAACGGG
rnacentral:rRNA from 2 species